rnacentral:rRNA from 1 species
AUGAACGCUAGCUACAGGCUUAACACAUGCAAGUCGAGGGGCAGCAUGGUCUUAGCUUGCUAAGGCCGAUGGCGACCGGCGCACGGGUGAGUAACACGUAUCCAACCUGCCGUCUACUCUUGGACAGCCUUCUGAAAGGAAGAUUAAUACAAGAUGGCAUCAUGAGUCCGCAUGUUCACAUGAUUAAAGGUAUUCCGGUAGACGAUGGGGAUGCGUUCCAUUAGAUAGUAGGCGGGGUAACGGCCCACCUAGUCUUCGAUGGAUAGGGGUUCUGAGAGGAAGGUCCCCCACAUUGGAACUGAGACACGGUCCAAACUCCUACGGGAGGCAGCAGUGAGGAAUAUUGGUCAAUGGGCGAGAGCCUGAACCAGCCAAGUAGCGUGAAGGAUGACUGCCCUAUGGGUUGUAAACUUCUUUUAUAAAGGAAUAAAGUCGGGUAUGCAUACCCGUUUGCAUGUACUUUAUGAAUAAGGAUCGGCUAACUCCGUGCCAGCAGCCGCGGUAAUACGGAGGAUCCGAGCGUUAUCCGGAUUUAUUGGGUUUAAAGGGAGCGUAGAUGGAUAUUUAAGUCAGUUGUGAAAGUUUGCGGCUCAACCGUAAAAUUGCAGUUGAUACUGGAUAUCUUGAGUGCAGUUGAGGCAGGCGGAAUUCGUGGUGUAGCGGUGAAAUGCUUAGAUAUCACGAAGAACUCCGAUUGCGAAGGCAGCCUGCUAAGCUGCAACUGACAUUGAGGCUCGAAAGUGUGGGUAUCAAACAGGAUUAGAUACCCUGGUAGUCCACACGGUAAACGAUGAAUACUCGCUGUUUGCGAUAUACGGCAAGCGGCCAAGCGAAAGCGUUAAGUAUUCCACCUGGGGAGUACGCCGGCAACGGUGAAACUCAAAGGAAUUGACGGGGGCCCGCACAAGCGGAGGAACAUGUGGUUUAAUUCGAUGAUACGCGAGGAACCUUACCCGGGCUUAAAUUGCAGAUGAAUUACGGUGAAAGCCGUAAGCCGCAAGGCAUCUGUGAAGGUGCUGCAUGGUUGUCGUCAGCUCGUGCCGUGAGGUGUCGGCUUAAGUGCCAUAACGAGCGCAACCCUUGUUGUCAGUUACUAACAGGUUCCGCUGAGGACUCUGACAAGACUGCCAUCGUAAGAUGUGAGGAAGGUGGGGAUGACGUCAAAUCAGCACGGCCCUUACGUCCGGGGCUACACACGUGUUACAAUGGGGGGUACAGAGGGCCGCUACCACGCGAGUGGAUGCCAAUCCCCAAAACCUCUCUCAGUUCGGACUGGAGUCUGCAACCCGACUCCACGAAGCUGGAUUCGCUAGUAAUCGCGCAUCAGCCACGGCGCGGUGAAUACGUUCCCGGGCCUUGUACACACCGCCCGUCAAGCCAUGGGAGCCGGGGGUGCCUGAAGUGCGUAACCGCGAGGAGCGCCCUAGGGUAAAACUGGUGACUGGGGCU